UGAGUAAUGUUGUAAAGAAAUGACUGGCUGCUACAAUUCUUCGACCGACAGAUUUGUCCGGAUGCUUAAUGAGAGGCAAAAUGUGGCUGUUAUUGUUCAUCAUCACUUGAUGAUAAAAAAUAGUGCGAAAAAUAGGAAAUUCACGUGUGGCGAUAAAUUAAAACACGACCGAAGGGAGUGUUUUAAGUUGACAUGAGUUGCGUAUUACCUAUUCUCACAUGUAUCGUACAACGUUUUACAGUACAUAUAACCCUUUAAAUAUUUGACAUAGUUACGUAAUGUGUGUGUGCAUUAUCGCACUAGUGCGGUAAAGUCCAUAUGUGCUGUAAAACAUCAUACAUUUAUUUAAUUUUGGUUUUGACAGUGAGGCGACCAGCUCAAACAUUUUGAACCCACGCAUUGCACAGCUGGAUGACACUUAUCGGGUUCCUAGUCUAUUAGAGGAAGAAGAUACCCAUGAGUUACAAAUAUCGUUCGAUGUGGAAGAAGAGCUUCCUGACAAAACCGUCGGUCGAAGAAUUGUCGCAAUUAGUAAUUUUUUUACAAAAUUACAAUCGAUUUGCAAUCAUGGACCCUUAGGAUGCGGUAUUCAAGAAAUGCAGUUGGUUGGAGAAGUAAAACAUGGGCUAACAUCAAAAUUUAUGUUUCGGUGUCAACUAUGCAAGAAGAAAUUUUCUAUACCAAGUGAUGACUGUGGAGAAAAUUACUUGGGAGUAAACCAAUGUGCUGUUGCAGGCACUAUUGCAAUUGGUUGCGGACACUCACAGUUGCAAGAGAUGCUGUCUGCCAUAAACCUACCGUUGAUAUCCGACAAAACUUAUGCUGAAUGCCACGAUAAUUGUAGCGCGCAUUGGGAGCGUGUAUUAGAAGAAUCAAUGCAUAAAGCUGCUGAAGAAGAAAAACAAUUGGCAUUAGAAGAAGGUCGCGUAAAGAAUGGGAUUCCGAAAAUAGACGUAGUUGCUGAUGGCUGCUG